GUGUGUUCUGUGUGUGUAUGUUGUGUUCUCCUUCACCUCUCCAGCUCUCCAGCAUCUCCGGCGUCUUCAUCACAUCGAGCUCCAAGGAUGAAGGAUGAUGGAGGGGUGAAUGAUGAUGGAGGAUGGAUGAAUUGUGAUCAUAAAGGAGGUUCUUCUCCUUACGCUAUGCUGCCCACACCAUGUUAAACUAGUUAACCUAGUUAAGUAGUGAUUCUCCACCUGAUGACUGAUGGAUGCACACAAACGACCCUCAGUUGGCGACACGAUUUGAAGAACAAACACCGUGUGUUCAUGUAAACGUCAGUGGAAGAAGAAAACGUGAUGUGAGAUUGGUGGAAAGAUUAAUGUUCAGUGUCAUAUUCAUCUCCAUUUCAUGCACAACCUCCAUCAUCUCCAUGUCCUCCACAGUCUCCAUCAUCUCUAUCUCUUCCACAGUCUCUAUCUUCUCUAUUUCCUCCGCAAAUUCCAUCACCUCCAUUAUCUCCACCACGUGCACUACCUCUGUCAUCUCAAAGUCUUCCACUGUGUCCAUCUCCUCCACAAUUUUCAUCAUCUCUAAUGCCUCCACAUUCUUUAUCAGCUCCCUCAUUUCUGUAAUCUCUAUCACCUCCACCAUCUCCAUCAUUUCCAUCUCCCCCACAACUUCCAUCAUCUCAACCUCCUCCACAAUUUCCAUCAACUCCAUCAUCUCCAUCCCCUUCACAAAAUCCAUCAUUUCUGUCUCCUCUACAAUCUCCAUCAUCUCAAUGUCCUUCACUAUCUCCAUAAUCCCUAACUCUUCCACAGUGUCCAUCACCUCCACCAUCUCCAUCUCCACAAUCUCCAUCAUCUCUAACGCCUCCACAUUCCCCAUCACCUCCAUUAUCUCAAUCUGCUCUACUAUAUCCAUCUUAUCUAUCAUCUUCAUCUCCUCCACAAUCUCCAUCAUCUCAAUGUCCUCCACUAUCUCUAUCAUCCCUAACACUCCCACAGUGUCCAUCAUGUCCAUCAUCUCCGUCUGCUCCACAGUCUCCAUCAUCUUAAUCUCCUCCACAAUUUCCAUCAACUCCAUCAUCUCUAUCUCCUCCACUAUCUCCGUCAUCUCUAACUCCUCCACAUUCUCCAUCAUCUCCAUCUCCUCAAAAAUCUCCAUCAUCUCCAUCUCCUCCACUACCUCCAUCAACUCUAUCUCCUGCACAAUGUCCAUCACCUCCAUUGCCUCCAUCACUUCCAUUAUCUCCAUCUUCUCUGCAAUUUCCAUCACCUCCAUCAUCUCCAUCCCUUCCACAAUCUUCAUUAUUUCCAUCUCUUCGAUAAUCUCCAUCAUCUCCAUCUCCUCUACUACCUCCAUCACCUCCUUCAUCUCAAUCAUUUCCGACACCUCCAUCAUCUCCAUGUCCUCCAUCACUUCCGUCAUCUCCACCUCUUCUACCAUCUCCAUUACCUCCAUAAUCUCUAUCUCCUCCACAAUCCCUAUCAUCUCCAUUUCCCGCAUCACAUCCAUCAGCUCCAUCUCCUCUUUCAUCUCCAUUUCCAUUUUCAUCCUCUCCAUCUUCAUCUCUGUCGUAUCUCACCUGUAUUGGACUCAUGGGUCACUAAUUACUACUAGUUACUACUUCAUGGCAAUAGUGUAGUAACCC
ensembl:lncRNA